rnacentral:rRNA from 1 species
UACGUAGGUGGCAAGCGUUGUCCGGAAUUAUUGGGCGUAAAGCGCGCGCAGGCGGUCUUUUAAGUCUGAUGUGAAAGCCCACGGCUCAACCGUGGAGGGUCAUUGGAAACUGGGAGACUUGAGUACAGAAGAGGAGAGUGGAAUUCCACGUGUAGCGGUGAAAUGCGUAGAGAUGUGGAGGAACACCAGUGGCGAAGGCGACUCUCUGGUCUGUAACUGACGCUGAGGCGCGAAAGCGUGGGGAGCAAACAGG